rfam:Homo sapiens chromosome 6, GRCh38 reference primary assembly.
GCCGGGUGUGGUGCUGCAUACCUGUAAUCCCAGCUACUCAGGAGGCUGAGGCAGGAGAAUUGCUUGAACCCGGGAGGCGGAGGUUGCAGUGAGCCAAGAUCGUGCCACUGCACUCCAGCCUGGGUGACAGAGCGAGACUCCGUCUCAA